GGUACCACGAGCUGGGCAGCUGGCACUCUCCAAAAGGUGGAUUUGCUGGGAGGAAAACUUCACCCCGGCCAUUAGCAAAGUGUUUCCGACAGGUGAGUCAGUCGGACACUGGGGCGCACUUCUUAAUGAGUUCGUUUCUGGCGUCAGCUUUUAAGGGAAAAGGUUAUGUAAGACGGAAAGAAGAAAGGGGCUUAUCUGUCCUCCCCACACUUUGUCGCUCAAAAUAGCAGCAGGUCAUCCCCAGGGAUGCUUCCAAUUUUGGAUUUGGCAGUCCCGUGAUACGAAAGGUUUCCAUGCCUGCCAAGGCAGGAUUUAACCCGUCGAGCCAAAAACUGCUUUUUGAGCGUGGAAUUCCCCCAGCGCUUCAUGGACUUAUUAGUAAAGAGUGCCUCUGAGAAUGUGCAGCGGGCCUUUUCCUGCGGGCUAUAUGACUGCUGCCAGGUUCAUCAUAUGCCAGCUGCUUUCAGAGGCAGAGAGUUUAGCUCAUGAGUAGGCAAACUAAGGCCCGGGGGCUGGAUCCGGCCCAAUCGCCUUCUAAAUCUGGCCCAUGGACAGUCUGGGAAUCAACGUGUUUUUACAUGAGUAGAAUAUGUCCUUUUAUUUAAAAUGCAUUUCUGGGUUAUUUGUGGGGCCUGCCUGGUGUUUUUACAUGGGUAGAAUGUGUCUUUUUAUUUAAAAUGGGAUAUUUGUGGGGUAUAGGGAUUCGUUCAUUCCCCCCCAAAAAAGUAUAGUCCGGCCCCCCACAAGGUCUGAGGGACAGUGGACUGGCCCUCUCCUGAAAAAGUUUGCUGACCCCUGGUAUAGCUUCUUAAACACAGGUUCCUACUGUGGAGAACAAGCUGCUUCUUUUAAAAAUUCAGAUAUGGAUCAGGCUUCCCACAUGUAAAGUCACUCGAAUAAGUAUGAGACAAAUCUCCAGUCUUCUUUGUUGACGAAUUGAUCCUGUCUGCCAAGCUGCCUGCUUGCCUCUUAACCUGUUGUACAAGACUGCCACAUCCCUUUAUGAAACUGACCCUCUCAAGAUAUCCCUGGACUUCCCAUAGUUUGUGGAGCACAGGAAAUAUAAGAACCUAAGAAGAAGAGGGGACGUGGGUGGCGCUGUGGGUUAAACCACAGAGCCUAGGGCUUGCCGAUCAGAAGGUCGGAGGUUCAAAUCCCCGCGAUGGGGUGAGCUCCCGUUGCUCGGUCAUUGCUCCUGCCAACCUAACAGUUUGAAAGCACAUCAAAGUGCAAGUAGAUAAAUAGGUACCGCUCCGGCGGGAAGGUAAACGGCGUUUUCGUGUGCUGCUCUGGUUCGCAGAAGCGGCUUAGUCAUGCUGGCAACAUGAUCCGGAAGCUGCACGCCGGCUCCCUCGGCCAAUAAAGCAAGAUGAGCGCCGCAACCCCAGAAUCAGCCAAGACUGGACCUAAUGGUCAGGGGUCCCUUUACCUUUGCCUUACUCAUAAGAUGAUGAUGAUGAUAGGAACUGUCUGGGAAACAGAGGGUGCUUUUGUAUUAGAGUUUCUGAGUCUUGGGAAGUUUAGGGGGUCUGCUAGGGAAAAAAUCAGUCUGCUUUGAUCUUGGACAAUGAAAAGGCAGCUGGAAUUUAGCCUAGCUUUCCCCAGCAAUUUGUGUGCAGGUCAGACCUAGGAGUGCGGGGUGCACUGGCUCAGAACAAUUAAAACUGCACUUGUUUGUUAAGGCCUGCAGGAAGCUUUCAGAUAUUCAAGCAAUAUCCAGGGUGCCCCACAAAGACAGAGCUGGAACUAUUCUUCUUUUCUGCGCUUCAAGGGCUUCCUAACAGCCAACAAGAGCAGCCGAAGCAGCCCCCAGGUACUCCAUGCCACCCAGAUGAAGUCAUCGCAGGCAGACCAGGUUGGCCAGAGCCCACGAAACGCCACCCUCACCUGCUGUGUGUUUGGAUAGCAGAAUGGGGACAAGGUGUGCUGGAGGAGCUUCCAGUUCCCUGGCCAAAACAGAACAAAAUGUGACUUUUUGACACUGGGAGUUUGGCCAGUAAACAUAUUGUGACAUGAUACCCUAAUCUCCGCGAGGCGGGAGACUUCAGGGGUUCCUGGUGUUGGCAUGAAGCUCAAUGGAGGCUGAUGUCUUUAGAAUCAUAGAAUUGUAGAGGGACCGCAAGGGUCAUCUUGUCCAACCCCUACAAUGCAGGAAUCUUUGGCCCAAUGUUGCAUUCUGUGUCCGACUGACCCUGGAAACUGCUGAGAAUUCCCUUCCACCUUAAGGAACAGGCAUGGGAUUGUUACGUGUCACAUGUCUGUUUACAUUCCAGCACAGUAUGCUAGGAACUUCCGUGGUGUGUAUAGCUUUUGCUUUUAGCUGUUCCCUCUGAGACGAGGAGGGAGAGAGACAACAUGUUUCUUUCUCCUGAUUUAUGAUUAAUAAAUCUAUAGUUGUCGUAUGCUUCCACAAGCCUCACGCCUAUUCUGUGUGCGCAGUUUGAUCUGCUGAUAGUGUGCCCUGGCUGAGUAAGCCCUGGUCGCUGAUUUCCGUCAGAGCAGAGGUGAUGGUCUUUGCAUUGGGCAGCUGGAAGGAGACGACCCAGCCAGGGCUAGCCAGCUGGCCUCCCGGCCCUCUGCAUGUCGACAGAAACUUCUACAUGCAGGGCAGCUGCUCUAGCAAUGGGCUAUGGCCCUUCCCCAAGCAAAUGGAGCUGCCUUUUUCCAAGUCAGACCAGUGCUCCAUUCUAGCUCAGUACUGCCUACCAGGCAUGGCCAAAGUUGGCCCUUCAGCUGUUUUGGGACUACAACUCCCAUCAUCCCUAGCUAUCAGGACCAGUGGUCAGGGAUGAUGGGAACUGUAGUCCCAAAACAGCUGGAGGGCCAACUUUGGCCAUGCCUGAUACACUGACUGGCAGCCAGGAGUCUUCCCCACACCUACCUGGAGAUGUUGGAGGACCUUUUCCAUGCAAGGCAGCUGCACUGCCACUCAGCUACAGCCCUUUCACUGUUGAUAUGAUGUCAUCAGCAUGCUCAGCAUUGCCCAAUCCCCAGCAGCCUGCUUGAUUGGCAGCCGCUAGCGGGAAAGGCAGUGAAACUCUGAGUGCGGUGAUGUCACUGGGCAGCUGCCAGAAAGGUUAAACAGAGAGAGAGAGAUGGAAAGAGAUUGCCAGGUGUUUGUCUGCUGUGGGGAUUACCACACUUGCGCCAUCACACGUUGCCUGAGCUUAAUAAUUCAAGGUUUAUUUAUUACCAUAACGGUUGAUUACUGUUUACUGUAGAUGGGGUGAAUGAGGUUGUUGGAUGAACACGGGACCAGAGUCGUCUCAGGACUGGGCUUUCCGCCCUGAGACACAAGGCAGUGGACCGCGAGAGACCGUGCAAAGGUUGAGAGCGAGGCAGGCCUUGGUAGCACAAGUCAGGAGCAACCUUAAAACGGUCCCUGGCGCUUAUCCCUGCUUCACCCCAAUGAACUCUGGGACCCAGGACACUUUUUGCAAGAACAUCCAACUCCUGCCAAAUGUAACCACAGGUUUUCAAGGAGGUGCGGAGUGCUUUUGUGUUUGUUUUUUCUUAACAUUGAAUUAAGAAAUUCAUUUAUUUACCAGCUCCAUCUGGUACGCAGGCUGAGACCCUAUCUGCCCACAGGCUAUCUCACCAGAGUGGUGCAUGUUCUAGUUAUCUCCCACUUGGACUACUGCAAUGCGCUCUAUGUGGGGCUACCUUUGAAGGUGACCUGGAAACUACAAGUAAUCCAGAAUGUGGCAGCUAGACUGGUGACUGGGAGCAGCUGCCGAGACUACGUAACACCGGUCCUGAAAGACCUUCAUUGGCUCCCAGUACAUUUCCGAGCACAAUUCAAAGUGUUGAUGCUGACAUUUAAAGCCCUAAAUGGCCUUGGCCCAGAAUACCUGAAGGAGCGUCUCCACCCCCAUCGUUCAGCCUGGACACUGAGGUCCAGUGCCCAGGGCCUUCUGGCGGUUCCCUCGCUGCAAGAAGUCAAGUUACAGGGAACCAGGCAGAGGGCCUUCUCGGUAGUGGCACCUGCCCUGUGGAACGCCCUCCCACCAGAUGUCAAAGAGAAAAACAACUACCAGACUUUUAGAAGAGAUCUAAAGGCAGCCCUGUUUCGGGAAGUAUUUAAUGUUUGACGGACUAUUGUAUUUUAAUAUUUUGUUGGAAGCCACCCAGAGUGGCUGGGGAAACCCAACCAGAUGGGUGGGGUAUAAAUAAUAAGUUGCUGUUGUUGUUGUUAUCCUUACUUGCUAUAUAUUUUAGAAAAAUCAUUUUUCUGUAUACAUCCAGACACCGCUUAAGAUACCUUCACCAGAUUUGGCACAAAUUGGGCAGGCUUUUGUCGAGGUUUGAGGGGCAAAAUGGCGGACUCGGCCUUCCGCAAAUGAACUGAUUUAGAAGCCUCUUCAGUUUCUUCCAUCAAAUUUGUCACAGCGGCUCCUGAGAUCAAGACGUAUGCUUUGUCUGUGUUUAGAUACCUGCCGUGACCUCCGGAAUAUAGCAGUUUCUCAGCCUGUAAGAAUCCCACAAGUGGAACAUGAGUCCAACAUAAGAAAAGCCCGCUGGAUCAGGCCAAGGGCUCACCUAGUCCAGCAUCCUGUUCUCGCAGUGGCCAACCAGAUGCCUGUGAGAAACCCGCAAGCAGAAUUCGAAUUUUCUUCUGUGGGAAGAAAAGAACUGUGUGAACACAUGGUCCGUCCUGCACCUGCCAAACUAGCCUGGAGGGCUGGAGGGCACUAUUCUAUUGCCAAUGCCGAAGUCAUCUUCUGUAUGGGGAAUGGGAGGAAGGUGGGUUCGGGUACCAUCUUGCAGGCCGCAAAUUGCCUUGGGCCGGCCCUACCGUUGGACAGUGUUAGAGGGGGCACUAUGGCCGUGUUUGCAUGCCCCGCCCUCCACUUCCAUGUGUUGAUUGGCCGUAGGUGUGUGUGCGUUUCAAGCCUACCCAUGUGGGAGCCUUACACAUGCAGGAAUUCUCUCCACGCGACCCGACACCCCGCGAUUGAUUUUCGCCCGGGGCAUCAAAAUAGCUGGAGCUGACCUAAUCCUGCAAGCUGUGACCUGGAGCUAGGAAACCUCUCUCUUUCUCUCUCUACACACACAAUGUGUCGAAGUUUAUCCUUUCCAAUUUGGGCCCAAUUGUUCCCACGUCUCCCAUGCUUGCACACCUUUAAGUAGAUUUUCCCAAAGAGACCGUCACAGCGAGGGAUCUGAGCACCAGGAAGCCAAAUAACAAUACAAGCCAAUAUGAUUUCCCGUGCCUUUUGGACAAACACUCCUCUAUAAAAAGGGUUUUCAAGCUGUCUCGUUCCCUCCUCCAGCAACACCCCACCUUGCGGAGCCCGUUCACGUGGCUCUCAUUUCAGCCCGGCCAAUUCUUCAUUAUCAAUCUUGGCCGGCUUUGUAAAUACACAGAGAAUAUCUCGAUUGUUCCCGUAUUAGAGACAGCGGAGCCCUGGCGGUGAUGAGAAAUUACAGGAGCAAGGGCGAAGCUAUGCUGAAAGAAAACCGCUGUCUAAAUAAAGGCCACGGAUGCGCUCUUGUUUUCAAACAUUUGUGGGUAAACCUUCCGCCCGCUAGCUGAUAAACUGGAACGGCUGUGGUGGCCUUUUUGAACGGGAGUGUGUGUUAUUUUCAGGCAUGUGACCGGCGGGGAACAUUUACCGGUAAUCUUGUUCUCCAACAAAUCCUUUUCACACCUGCAAUAGGAGAACUGGAAAUGACAUCUGUAUGCAGUGCUUUUUUCUGUGGGGGGGACGCAGGGGUACGCAUACCCCUAAACAUUUUGUGAAUCUAACGGGAGAAGAAAUUAAAAAUCUUUAAAAAUUUAGUUUCUUCUCUAGCAUGGUGAAUUGUCAGUUUGGUUGCUACCCCUGAUGGCGGCUUCCUUUUCUUUCCCCUUAUUUCCUGAGUCUCAGACGGAAGCGAGAGUACCCCUAAACAUUUUUUAUAGAAAGAAAGCCCUGUCUGUAUGAACUAGGACAAGAGCAUGUGAGUCUAAGCUGACUUCAGCUAUAUGUAUUAGUGAAAGCAUCUCCCUUUAAAAUGUUACUGAAAAUUUUAGUGCAAGAAACAAACCCUGCUUUGUGAAAUUGGGCAUGGCCACGGAAGAAGUGAAUAGGAAACAGUUUUCCUCCAUCUCUCCUAACACUCAAAUACAGUGGUACCUUGGGUCUCAGACGCCUUGGUAUUCAAACAACUUGGAACCCAAACACUGCAAACCCAGAACUAAGUGUUCCGGUCUGCGAACUUUUUUCAGAAGCUGAACGUGCUCCAUUUUGAGUGUUACGCUUCCAAUUUGAGUUCCACAGUUCCAUUUUGAGUGUUACACUGAGGUCUGUCUGUUUUUGCUAUUUAUUUUGCGUUUUUGUUUUUGCAGCUUUUUUGUUUUGUUUUGUUUUUGUGACUGUGUGGAACCAGUUCAGCUACUGAUUGAUUGAUUGAUUGAUUGAUUGAUUGAUUGACUGCAGUACAGUGGUACCUUGGGUUACAUACACUUCGGGUUACAUACGCUUCAGGUUACAGACUCCGCUAACCCAGAAAUAGUGCUUCAGGUUAAGAACAGUUUCAGGUUAAGAACGGACCUCCAAAAUGAAUUAAAUACUUAAUACCACUGCACAUUGUUUCUUGCUUUCAUUUUAUGGAUCUCAUUAGAUAGCAAAAUUCAUGUUAUAUUGCUGUUUUAGGGGUUGUUUUUAAAAGUCUGGAACGGAUUAAUCCAUUUUGCAUUACUUUCUAUGGGAAAGCGUGCCUUGGUUUUGGAACGCUUUGGUUUUGGAACGGACUUCCGGAACGGAUUAAGUUUGAGAACCAAGGUACUGCUGUAUCUCAAGAGCUGUCACAUAGAAGAUGGAGCAAGCUUGUUUUCUCCUGCUCUGGAGAGUAGGACAUGAAACAACGGAUUCAAGUCACAAGAGAGGAGGUCCCAACUAAACAUGAGGAAGAACUUUCUGACAGUAAGAACUGUUCAACAGUGGAACAAACUCCUAUGAGAGGUGUUGGACUCUCCUUCCUUUGAGGUUUUUAAGCAGAGGCUGGAUGGUCACCUCUCAAGGAUGCUAUAGUUGAGAUUCCUGCAUUGCAGGGUCCUUUCCAACUUCACCAUUCUAUGAUUCUAUGCUUAAAGGUAAAGGUAAAGGGACCCCUGACAGUUAAGUCCAGUCGCAGACGACUCUGGGGUUGUGGCGCUCAUCUCGCUUUACUGGCCGAGGGAGUCGACGUUUGUCCGCAGAGUUUUUCCGGGUCAUGUGGCCAGCAUGACUAAGCCGCUUCUGGCGAACUAGAGCAGCACACAGGAACACCGUUUACCUUCCCACUGGAGUGGUACCUAUUUAUCUACUUGCACUUUGACGUGCUUUUGAACUGCUAUGUUGGCAGGAGCUGGGACCGAGCAAUGGGAGCUCACCCCGUCGUGGGGAUUCAAACCGCCGACCUUCUGAUCGGCAAGCCCAAGAGGCUCAGUGGUUUAGACCACAACGCCACCUGUGCCCCGUGAUUCUAUGCUUAGACCCAUUUAAAGCACUAUGAUGCCACUUUAAACAGUCACAGCUCCCCCCCCCCAAAAAAAAAUCCUGGGAACUGUAGUUGGUUAAGGGUGCUGAGAGUACUUACAAGGCCCCCCUUUCCCUCCCAGAACUACAAUUCCCAGAGCCGUUUAACCAUCAGUCCCACUUCUUAGGGAACUCUGGGAACUGUAGUCCAGGGAGGGGACUAGGGACCUCCCCAAAAGUCUCAGCUCCUAUGAUUCUUUAUGGGAAGCCAUGACUGCUUAAAGUGCUAUCAUGGUGCUUUAAUUGCAUGGUGUGAAUGUGGACCAGGGAUGAGGAACUUGUGGCCUUGCAGGUGUUUCUGGACUACAGAUCCCAUCAUCCCUGACUUUGGGUUGUGCUGGCUGGGGCUGAUGAGACUUGGAGUUCAACAACAACUGGGGACCACCAGUAUCCCCAUCAGCCGUUGAAAUCUGUGGGACGAGUAAGUACCUUUGAUUUCAGUAGGUCUACUCUAAGCAAUUCAAACCAGUGGCUCGUCGCACCAACAGGUGUCGCCAGCCAAGAGAAGGUGAAGACAAGACAGAGUUUUUCAUAGUACCGUAUUUUUUGCUCUAUAAGACGCACCAGACCAUAAGACGCACCUAGUUUCUGGAGGAGGAAAACAAGAAAAAAAUAUUCUGAAUCUCAGAAGCCAGAACAACAAGAGGGAUCGCUGCGCAGCAAAAGCAGCGAUCCCUCUUGCUGUUCUGGCUUCUGGGAUAGCUGUGCAGCCUGCAUUCACUCCAUAAGACGCACACACAUUUCCCCUUACUUUUUAGGAGGGAAAAAGUGAGUCUUGUAGAGCAAAAAAUACGGUAAUUUUGGACAAGAGUGUAGGAAAUUUACCAGACAUUGUACACUAUCUCUCCCUCACACCUGCCCUUGUGGCUUUUGGAAGCGAGCGACAAAAGUUUCCCAGGAAGUCCUAGCAGGGGGUUCACAACAAUGAAUGGUGAGUUAAGCAUUAAUUACAUGCUGAAGAAAUUACAGUCAUCCACCAGCUGAUAAGGGUUUGCAAAUAUUUGGGCAUAUGAAAGGCUGAGGAGGAGAUAUUACAUAACCAAAUAAAAGGAAGGAAGCGGUUCUCAGUUUAUUUGUGUUUGAACAAUUCAGAGAUAUGGGAACUCAACGUGAGAAAAGCCUUGCCAUAUCAGAGCAAGGUCAAAAGCCUUGUUUCUCCACAGAGCCAGUCAGGUGCUUUCCGAGAGAAACAGAGAAGAGUAGAAAGGUGGCUUGUAUAUUUAGAUUUCCUUUGUUCGUUACCUGUAUGCACCACCGUUCCAUCGAAAAAAGGCCCAAGGCAGUUUGCAACCGUAAAAUCCGCAACAGAAAAUAACCAAUCCACAUAACACAGUGUUAUAAGAAUUUUAAGGUCUCAAAUAUAAAAUAAAUAUUCAUAUCUAAAUAUAUGAACCAUGUGUCUGAAACAGUAUGGGAGAGCAAUCCAGAAGCCAUUUUGACUCUCCCAAUGACCUCAAAUAUUCCUCUGCAGUAAAGGAGGAAAAUAAGGAAAACCUUCCUUCCCAUUGUCCUUUUGCUUGCAAAUCCUGUUUUAAGGGUGUAUUUGUGUAUGAAUUGGGUGAGCCUGUGACCUGGACUCAAGAACUAAAGUAUUAACCAUCACAAAAGAACGGUCAGGCUGCCCAGGUAGAGCAAUCAGUGACCAUUAUAAGGUAUCCUGGCAGAUAGGAUUUCUGCUGUAGACAGCCUCCUUCUGUGAUGUAUGCAUGAUGUGUGCUUUUUUCGGGGGGGGGGGUCUUGGGCUACACUGUGGGCAAUUUCAAAAGACUAUAUAAGGACUUGCGCACCAUUGUUCAGGGUUCUCCUCCCUCCUGUGUGCGGUGAGUGGGGACCCCGUUGCAACAGGUCUUUUAAUAAAGAUCAGGCUUACUAGCCACUUUGCUUUUCAAUAUACUCUGGCUGGCCUGUUUUCUUCUACUAAUAGGGAACCCACUUAAGGACUCUAUUCAGGCUCCAGAAUACCCCAUAAGGGAAAGGGAGCCGUUUUUCUUAUAACAGUCACCAGUAACACAAAUAACAGCAGGCGCGAAAUCAGGAAAAGUGAGUUAGAAUCCUAAUUUACUUAAGAACACAGAGAGCAGAAGAAAAGAGAAAGUCUUCUGUGGAGAAGGGAGAUGUUCAGGAGAACUUCUUUCACACCCUUCUUCCUUGCUCAACUGCUGCACAACACUAGACAGGACUGUGAACAUGCUGGGAAGGUGGACUUGGGGGAGCACAUCUUUGUUUGAGACUCUAUUCUGCCAUGCGAUGCCCAAAAUCAAAACACCCUGCUUGUCCUGGACUGGUUGGACACAGAGGAGUGGUGGGAAAAACCAGCUGGGGAACCCCCAAGGGAAAAAGGCUCAGAGUCAAGGUGAUACAACCUUUAGAACACACCUGAAGGCAGCCGUGCCUAGGGAAGUUUUUACACGUUUCAUAUUUUAUUAUGUUUUUAGGGCUGGGCACAAAAGUGCCAAAAUAAGCUUAGGGCUUAUAAUCUUCAAAUGGAGAACUACUUAGCCCUUAGCCCAUGUGACCUUAGAAACUGGAUUUUUGAUCAGGAUGCCAACCAAGACAGAGCCUCCAUCAUUGUUGCCUGUUACUGUACUUGGUACCCCCAAAUUAAGACCACUCACUCAAGGCACAGGAUAUUGGAUAUAACAUUAUGUUUGCUGACUGGGAAUGGUUAUGGACCACAGGUACGAAGUUCACAGCAUGUAAUGCUUUAAAAGAGAAUAUUAUGAAAAUGGUGUACAGGUGGUACAUGACCCCAGUUAAGCUUGCAAAAAUCUACCAUUUGCCCGACAAUAAAUGUUGGAAAUGUAAGGAAACUGAAGGUACAUUCUUUCACCUUUGGUGGACGUGCCCAAAGAUUAAGGCCUUCUGGGAAAUGAUAUAUAAUGAGUUGAAAAAGGUAUUUAAGUAUACCUUCUUAAAGAAACCAGAGGCCUUCCUCUUGGGCAUUGUUGGCCAAUUGGUGCCAAAGAAAGAUAGAAUUUUCUUUAUGUAUGCAACAGCAGCAGCAAGAAUACUCAUCGCAAAGUAUUGGAAGACACAGGACUUACCCACUCUGGAAGAAUGGCAGAUGAAGGUAAUCGAAUAUAUGGAACUGGCGGAGAUAACUGGCAGAAUCCGUGACCAGGGAGAAGAGUCGGUGGAAGAAGAUUGGAAGAAAUUUAAAGUUUAUUCACAGAAAUACUAUAAAAUUAAUGAAUGUUAAAUUGAAGUUUGAUUGAAAAUAACUGGUAUUGGCAAAAGCCUUGGGAUUAAGAGUAUGGAAUAUUUGACUGAUAAGGUUGUAAAAAUAUUUAUAUACAAAUAGAUUAAGUUUUCUGAGUUAAGAUAAUGAAAGGAGGGUAAGGAUUUGCUGAAAGAAGUUCUUAAAUGGAAAUACAAGCGGGGAGGUGCGGGGAAGUCAAAGAACCAGGUAAAGAUAAGAAGGAUAAAUGAAAGUAUAAUAUUCUUUGAAUUUUUUUUUGUCCCCUUUUCUUUUUUUCCUUCUUCUUUUUUUUUUUGUUACGGUUAUUUCUGUUUGUUUUUUGUCAUGGUCAUUGUUGUUUUUUGUUUGUUGAAUUUUUGUAAUUCUGUAUUUUGUAUUUUUUUGGAAAUUUUUCUUGUAAAACCAAUAAAUAUUUUAUAAAAAAAAAAAAAAGACCACUCACUCAAGGCCCCAUUACCUUGAGACUCUGACCUUCCCACAACUACGCAGGGCCUUUGCAGAACUAAGAUUCCAACAGAUGCCCUCGGCAUAUCAAAUCAAAUCAAAUCAAAUAUCUUUAAUACGGUCAGUGACCAGGAAGCAAUUUAUAAAAUAUGACAUUAAGAGUAGUAUUGUGCUACAAGUAACAGUAAAAAUAUGGCCAAUUCACAGAAUUGGUGCUUAUAUUUAUGACCAGGUUUCGAGUUUUAAGUUUUUAAAAUUCAAUUCAGGAGUCGCUACUGUUUAUUAUCAUUCCUUCGAUGUUUACAGUUUGAACUCCUUUGUAGACAUCAUUGCUCGUCUUAUUCUUGUUGCAAUGUAACAGUACUUUGCCACGGACCUGUUAAUUUCGGGCUCUUUGUCAGCUAAGAGGUGUCUGAUAUAGGUGUCGUCUGUACUACGAGGUAUUUUCCUCAGAAUCGGUUCGAUCAGCUCUUUUCUUGAGUCUCGAUAUAAUGGGCAGUAUAAGAUGACAUGCCCAAUGGUUUCGAUUUCAUUGCUGUUACAGGGACAUAAUCUUUGUUCGAUCGGUAUUUUAUUGUAUCUUCCCUCUAGAAGAGCUGAAGGGAGAGCGUUAAAACGGGCCCUGGAAAAUGCCCAUCGGUGUUUAGCGUUGUCUAGAACUUUGAGAUAGUUUGCUAAAUGGGGCCUUUGGGAAUUGUAUAGAAGUUUAUAAGUUAUCGGAAGUUGGUUAAAGUCAUUUUGGGUUUCAAUGUCCCUGAGUCUUUCUUUGAUUAUGUUCUUGGCCCUUCCCCUUUCUAAACUUAAUAAAUACUCUGGGGAGAGACCAUAUGUGGCCAGUUUUCUGAGAAUGCCCUUCAACCAGCUAGAUUGGAAUUUGUCAAGAAGCAUCAGGGAAAGUAGUCCAACCGGCGAGUUGUUAAGUCUUAGCCAAGUGCAUAAGGUUCUUAUCCAUACUUUGGUUUUAAUGCUGUAUAAGCCCUUGGCAUAUUUAGAGGGGAGAUAUCGGGGAAUUCCUCCAUAUGGCUCGCAAAUGCAUAUAUGGAUGCAAUCAGGUAGAGGACAUCACAUACUAUCUGGUGAUAAAAAAAAUAAGAUCGUGGCCAGUGGUCACCUCCUGGCAAAUAGAAGGGGAAGAAAUGGAGGCAGUGAGAGAUUUUACUUUCUUGGGUUCCAUGAUCACUGCAAAUAGUGACAGCAGUCACGAAAUUAAAAGACGCCUGCUUCUUGGGAGAAAAGUGAUGACAAACCUAGACAGCAUCUUAAAAAGCAGAGACAUCACCUUGCCAACAAAGGUCUGUAUAGUUAAAGCUAUGGUUUUCCCAGUAGUGAUGUAUGGAAGUGAGAGCUGGACCAUAAAGAAGGCUGAUCUCCGGAGAAUUGAUGCUUUUGACUUCUGGUGCUGGAGGAGACUCUUGAGAGUCCCAUGGACUGCAAGAAGAUCAAACCUCUCCAUUCUGAAGGAAAUCAGCCCUGAGUGCUCACUGGAAGGACAGAUCCUGAAGCUGAGGCUCCAAUACUUUGGCCACCUCAUGAGAAGAGAAGACUCCCUGGAAAAGACCCUGAUGCUGGGAAAGAUGGAGGGCACAAGGAGAAGCGGAUGACAAAGGACGAGAUGGCUGGAUAGUGUUCUUGAAGCUACCAGCAUGAGUUUGACCAAACUGCGGGAGGCAGUGGAAGACAGGAGUGCCUGGCGUGUUCUGGUCCAAGGGGUCACGAAGAGUCGACACGACUAAACGACAAUACAAUGCCCAGAGGAAAAUUUAUAUCGCCAAUUCUUAAUUGGCUUCCAGGUCGAUCUGCACAGAAGCAAUAGUUGAACUCCUAGCAGAUAAACAUCUAUAUAUUACCCACCAGGGAGCCAGAUUUGCGCUGGCAGCCAAGAAGCUCCAUUUCAGGUUUGUGAAUGCAUUCCAAUUUAAAAAUUUAAUGUUGCACAUUUCUUUUUAUGUCAUAAACAGGCUACGUUGUAUGAUCUUAGAGGAAAGUUUUCCUUUUAUUCUCUGUUGUCCAUUGUAAAGGCCUUUGGCUAUAUAUAAUAAAAUUGACCAGACAGAGGUUUGCUCCAUUUAAAAAAAAAGGUUUUAUAUAAAUUUGAAGCUGCCCAGAGUAGCUGGGGCAACCCAGCCAGAUGAGUGGGGUAUUACUGAUUAUUAUUAUGGAAUAGGAUGUCCCUAUUUCCAUUGGAGAAAUAUUGGAUUUGUUAUGUGGGCCCACCUGUGCGAGCCACGAGACUCGAGACAAUGAACAUCCUUGAGUGGGGCUCAUUUCGUCUAGCCAAGGCUGGAGCUCGUAUGGAAGAAUUUUGCUUUAUGGGGCUCAGAAUCGUCUGGUGGGAGGAUCUGGCCAAAGGAGUGAUCUGUUUUCCCGGAGCUUAUCUGGCCUGUUUUCUUGGCUGACCAGGCCAGCUGCUGCUCUCAUCGGACGGAGCUGAUAGAGACGAGUUGUGACCAUUAUGUGCCGGUCAAAAUGACUUUGGGGAGAUUGCAGCCCAUUGCAAAAUCAGCUCAGGGCCGGCCAGAUGUGGUUCUCUAAGCGCAAACAAGGGAAGGGGCAGUUAAAGGGAAAGAUCCAGGACUAGGCUACAGGAGCAGGAUCAGUGCCGGAUUUACAUAUAAAUGAAUAAGCUAUAGCUUAGGGCCCCAUUCUUUUGGGGGUGCCCAAAAAAAUUAAAGGAAAAAAACUGGAUGUUCAUUUCCAAAAUAUAAGAUAAAAAGACCAUUACUUUGAUAAAAUACAUAUUUUGUUAUGUGCAAAUGGCUUUUGAUACCUAUUAGGUCCAUAAAUUACCAUAUAGCAUAUAUUCAACAGAAAAAACAGCGACAAUUUGUUGUUGACAAAGGACAGCUGGACAUAUAAAGGGCCCCAUUACCUUCAGUAGCUUAGGGCCUCAUCAAACCUCAAUCCGGCCCUGGCAAGGAUAAAUACCAUUUAAGGACAGUGUCAAUAGCAAGUUUAGGGGGCUAGGGCCAAGCAGGAGGCAGAGCUUGACGCAGAAUGAGAAAGUAGCUAGAGGAGAGGAAGUGUGGUGUAGUGGUUAGAGUGUCGGACUAGGUUCUGGGAGACCCAGGUUUGAAUCCCCACACAGCCAGUGCACUGGCUUUCCUUGGAAGCUAAUCACUGCCCCUCACCUACCUCACAAGGUUGUUGUAGGGAUUAAAUGAGGAGGGGAAGAACCACGUACAGAAUUCCAGCCAGGCAACUGAGGAAGAUUCGGAGCAGAAGUGGCAAAGGGUGUGGUUCGGGGAGAGUUUUGAGGGCCGGACUGAGAAGUCUGGAGGGCCACAUUCAAGCUUGUGGAACCUGGUUUUAGAGCCACCAGACAAGUUUUUAAAACAUAAAAAUAAAAAAAUCAAGGUUCUAGAGAAAGAGGGGGAGCAAUUUGUUUUUGUUUGCCUUUAAAGGCAUAACUAUGCAAGUUUCACUUUCCAAAUCAGCAUGUGGACCGAAACUCAGCCAUCCUUUGAAAUUCAUACUUCUCUGAAUUCUGCAACGCAGUUCUCCAGCCAAGGAAGUCUGCAAAAAUGCAUGUCGUGUGUAAAAUCAGCAUACAAAUGCAUAUAUUGGUGAAAAGGGCAUGCAAAAUGCAUUAUGUCAGGGGAAAUUGCUGGACCCCGUUCGCAUCCAGAGAUACCACUGUAUUAAUUAUUAUUAUUAUUAUUAUUAGGAUUGAAGUUGCUGAGCAUUUUCCCGGAUUUUACCCCAGGACAUAUCCUGCCGUGGGGGCCAGAUUAAAUCGACCGGUGGGCUGGAUUAGGCCCCCAAAACGAACUUUGGACAUGCCUGCCCUACAACCUGGACUGCAGUCCCUAAAACAGUUGGAUGGUGACUUGUACUCCUCCUUCCGGCAACAUCCGCAGCCCAGCUGGUGCCAAAUGUCUUGCUCUGCUUUCCUUUGGACCCCAUCAGCGAGGCAGAGAGGAGGGUCUUGUCUCUGGGCAGCCCAGGACCUCCAUACCCCCUGCCCAGACUUGUGCCCCGGGGUGCUGCAAACCCAGCAGUUUGACUUUACCCCCAGAGGUGCACUCCAUUGUCUGUCAAAACAGACAGAUGCCAGCAACAACAAUGCCACUCAAAGCAACAUGCAUUCUUCUUUCCUUCCUCAAUUAAACCCCCCAAACAUGUGAGGUAGGUUAGUCUGCCAGGCAGCAACUGCACCCUGGGUCAUGCAGCAAGCUUUGUGGCGAAGUGGGAAUCUGAACCCGGAUCUCCCCAGCACUCUAACCACUACACCGCACUGCCUUGUCUCCCCACUGGCUACUUUCUGCCUCUUCUUCCAGCAGUCUCUCCCUCGUGUCUUCCCAUCUGCUUCUCAGGGGCAAUAUGACUCCAUCCUCUCCUUAUCGGCCGCUGUGUUUUGCAACCCUGAAAAGAGACCGAACAUCGAUUGCCCAUGACCCCUCGUCGUUUCAGAGAUUGUGGAAUCUGCAGCACAAGAGAAGGAACAGAACAUGAAGUUAGCUGUCUGCGUGUUUAAGAAACGGGAGAUUAAAUGUAAUUGCGGUGGGUAAAUUUGCUUAGCACUUAGAAGCAAUUGCUGCCAUUGUUUCGCUCUAACCUUUGGGCCACGCUGCCUCUGGGCUCCACUUUUUACCUGCAGAGGGAGAGGGAUGGUUUGAAAAAAAGUUUUCGGCACACCGCUGGCAUCUUCUCUGAGCACAUUAAUCCUGCCCUGAAGCCCAGGACGUUCUAACAGGUCACAAAACAAAACAUUUUCAGAACAGGUAAAACUUCACACCUGACAAAGCUUGAAUCCGGUUCAGACUGACCCAAAAUUACUGUGUCUCAUUGAUGGCAUCUCCUGAAUUUCCCUUUUGGAGAUGCCAAGGGGGGAGAACAGAAUGUUACGCCCCUGAAUUACUAUAUUCUCGGAAGGGAUUUAGCUUAGUGGUAGAACACCUGCUUUUUCAUGCAGAAGGUGCCAGGAUCAGUCCCUGGCAUCUCUUGGUAGGGCUGAGAUAGACCCCUGCCUAAAAGCCUGGAAAGCUGCUGCCAGCCUGCGCAGGUAAUACUGAACUAAAUGGACCCAGUGGUCUGAACCAGUAUCAGGCAUCUUCCUGGGUUCAUAUGAUUGCAUAGAAGCAAGGCAGGAAUCUCAGCUAAAGGAUCCAUGAUAGAUGACCAUCCUCUCCAACAUACAGCGGUACCUUGGUUCUCAAACUUAAUCCGUUCCAGAAGUCCGUUCCAAAACCAAAGCGUUCCAAAACUCAAGGUGCGCUUUCCCAAAGAAAGUACAGUCAUACCUCGGGUUACAGACGCUUCAGGUUGCGUUUUUUCAGGUUACGGACGUACCGAAACCCGGAAGUACCGGAAUGGGUUACUUCCGGGUUUCGGCGGUCGAGCAUGCGCAGAAGCGCUAAAUUGCGCUUUGUGCAUGUGCAGAAGCACUGAAACGCAAACCGUGCGUGCACAGAUGCGCUGCUCCCGCACAGAUCACGUUCGCAACCCGAGCGUCCACUGUAUUGUAAAACAGAUUACAAUGGUACCUCAGGUUAAGUAUUUAAUUCGUUCCGGAGGUCUGUUCUUAACCUGAAACUGUUCUUAACCUGAAGCACCACUUUAGCUAAUGGGGCCUCCGGCUGCUGCUGCGCCGCCGGAACACGAUUUCUGUUCUCAUCCUGAAGUAAAGUGCUUAACCUGAAGCACUAUUUCUGGGUUAACAGAGUCUGUAACCUGAAACGUAUGUAACCCGAGGUACCACUGUAAUCCGUUCCAGACUUUUAAAAACAACCCCCAAAACAGGAAUUUAACAUGAUUUUACUAUCUAACGAGACCAUUGAUCCAUAAAACGAAAGCAAUGAACAAUGUACUGCAGUCACACAAUCAAUCGGUAGCUGAAGUGGGUUCCACACAGUCACAAAAACGAAACCAAAAGAGCCGCAGAAACAAAAUUGCAAAAUAAAUAGCAAAAACAGACAGACCUCAGUGUGGCAGUCAAAACAGAAGCGUGACACUCAAAAUGGAGCACUUUUGGCUUCCAAAAAAAGUUCGCAAACCAGAACACAUACUUCCGGGUUUGCACUGUUUGGGUUCCAAGUUGUUUGAGUACCAAGGCGUUUGAGAACCAAGGUACCACUGUAUGGAAACAGAUUUUGCAUUGACCCAAUAACAGUGCUUUGGUGAUGUGUUCAUACUGGACCAUCCACACGUCAUUCCACUUUACCAGUUAUUCUGGGAUGCUUCCCUAACAUUAUUAUACUGUGGUCACCUGGGUGGGGCAGUCUUGUGGCGGCCAGGGGCUGGAGUUCAUUGUGGAAGUUGGGAGUUGCCAGGAUGCCCCUAUUGCCCUCAGAGAACUACAAUUCCCAGAGUUCCCCAGGAAGGGGGGGUUGGUUGUUAAGCCAGUCGAGAAAUUGUAGUCCCGGGAGGGGAAUCAGGCGGUCUCCUAAUACCUCUCAAACUACCUUAUCAAACGGCAGGAUUCUUUGGAGGAAGCUGUGACUAUAACCCAGCACUGUGAAUGGGGCCUUUGUCAGCUGGAGAUCACCUUGUGCUGGUCAAGCAUCGGAGCUUCCUUCCUAGCCUUUAUCAUAGAAUCGUAGAGUUGGCAGGGACCCCGAGGGUCAUCCAGUCCAACCCCUUGCAACUGAAGCAUCCAUGGCAAGUGGCCAACCCACUUCUGCUUAAAAACCUCCAAGGAACCACCUUCCAAGGGAGUCUGUUCCCAUUGUUGAACAGCUCUUACUGUCUAGGGCUGCUCCUGGUAUGCCCCGUGGAGGACCUUAAGGUCCACAAAUGACAAUAUUUUGGAGGUCACAAGUCACAAGGUGGUUAGAUUGGUCUCAACUAGGGCCAGGGCCUUUUCAGUACAGUGGUACCUUGGGUUAAGGACUUAAUUCGUUCCGGAGGUCCGUACUUAACCUGAAACUGUUCUUAACCUGAAGCACCACUUUAGCUAAUGGGGCCUCCUGCUGCUGCCGCGCCGCCGGAGCACAAUUUCUAUUCUCAUCCUGAAGCAAAGUUCUUAACCUGAAGCACUAUUUCUGGGUUAGCGGAGUCUGUAACCUGAAGCGUAUGUAACCCGAGGUACCGCUGUACUGGCCCCGACUUGGUGGAACGCUCUGUCACAAGAGACCAGGACCCUGCAGGACUUGACAUCUUUCUGCAGGGCCUGCAAGACAGAGCUGGUCCGCCUGGCCUUUGGUUUGGACUCAGUCUGACCCUUAUGUUUCCCUUCCCUAAUGGUUUUGAUCUAUGGGCUACUUUUAAAAUGAGGCUGGAUUUUAAACUGCAUUUUAACCUGUAUUUUAAAUUGGUCCCUCCCCAUUAUGUAUUUACUGUAAUUUUUACUGUUGUUAGCCGCCCUGAGCCUGGCUCUGCCCAGGGAGGGUGGGGUAUAAAUAAAACAACUUCUUCUUCUUUUACUUCUUCUUCUUCUUCUUCUUCUUUGCAGAAUUUUCUAGACAUAGGCGGAAUACAGCAGUUGGAAACAGUGUCCGUGUGGGAAUCGGUGAGAUGUAUCCAU
rnacentral:lncRNA from 1 species